rnacentral:rRNA from 1 species
UACGGGGGGUGCAAACGUUGCUCGGAAUUAUUGGGCGUAAAGCGCACGUAGGCGGUCUUGUAAGUCGGGUGUGAAAGCCCGGGGCUUAACCCCGGAAGUGCACUCGAAACUGCAAGGCUUGAGUACGGAAGAGGGUCUCGGAAUUCCCGGUGUAGAGGUGAAAUUCGUAGAUAUCGGGAGGAACACCAGUGGCGAAGGCGGCGACCUGGGCCAAUACUGACGCUGAGGUGCGAAAGCGUGGGGAGCAAACAGG